GUGUGUGUGUGUGCGCGCGCGCGCGUGCAUUUGCGUGUGCGUUUGUGAGAUCUGGGGAGGGGGGAGAGCAGUUGUAGACAGAGUAGACAGAAGCGCCUGUCUGCUCACAGAUCGCGAGCUGCCUUUUGAGUCAUACAGAAUAUAUUGUGUGAAAUAUAGGAAUCUAUUAAUUCAUAUCGACUGGGUGAUUUAUAUUUGUUGCCAUUGUGAUGGAAUUAAUCGGUCGUGAAUUGUGCAAAAGCGAUUACUCAGUCACAGCGGUUAAGAGCUGUGAUUUAAGAAUGAAAUACUAGUAGCCAAAAUCCCUGUUGUAUCUUCGUGCGUAAAACGUCAUAAUUCGUCUUCAUGGACAUUCUAUAAUGUUGGCAUUCAUUUCAAUAUGUAUGCCUAUGUCAUCAAACACUGGAUGUCUAAAGGCACAGUUAAGAUAGUAUCUAGAUUUGAUAAUUAUGUGCUUAGUUUUUGUUGUGCGUUUAAGUCUGGUCGAAAUGCUGGUGUUCAAAUACCCUAACCCUAACCUUACACGUUUCUUUAUGGAUCCUAAUGCGUAGAACCAAACUAAAGCGACCAGCGUUACAAUGUCUUCACCGGUAAGAGUAUAUCGGAGGCAAAAUAGACCUGUUCAUGUUCAUACAUAAACACACACUGGUCAAAGAUGGAGCCUGUCAGCCUUUCUUUAGACGCCUCAGAUCGCCCGCUGUGAUGCAGUCGCCAUGACAACGGUCGUUUCCUAGUCACCGUUGCCAUGGCACCUCUGUUUCCACAGUAACCUUCCAGAUGGCCCGGAUUGGAAUAUACGCUGAAGAUUCCUAUCUAAAAGGCUCAUCUUCGGUUAAUUAAACAAGACUGCUUUUAACCCACGCUGUGCCGGAGUAAAGUGUCAGAUCAUCCAAAAUAAACAACACAAGCCCAACUCGCUCACAUUCUGUAUUGAAUUGGAUAUGACAUUUUAGUAUGGACACCCGGGUCCAAAAUAUCACCAGUGAUCACAACCCAUAAGCAAAGCACCAAAUCAUGAUAGCCGCCACCCUCUGAAUUGAGAGACGGAGGACCGAGCUUCGACGGAUGUGGAAUUAUGAAUGAAUGGAGGAGGAGGUACAUGGCUGCCGUCCUAGCUGCGGUAUCCUCUUCUAUCCGGCAGAGGGUGCUGUUAACCCACUGAUAACAUCGGAGUUCACACUAAGGACGCACACUUCGGCCUUCACCUCUGUCAACCAAUGGAAACACAAUAUCAAGGGGCCAGAAUGGACAAGAAUGGGAAUACAGGGAGUAAAACAAGACUCAACUGGUUCUCUGCCUUUGCGAAGAACAACCAUUGCAUACUGGUUCAGCCAAUAAUACGUUUUCCAUGAAUGAGUGUUAUGUCACUAAGUGUUUUGACAGUUGAGUCCUUUGUGGAGUCCAUUACAGCAAUGUGGAUUUUCCCAGGAUGGACCGGGAUCUCGGAAAGGGACAUUUGCAAUAUAAAGACGAUGCUGGAUUCAAAUCUAUACAUUCACCAAUAGAAUCACAAAAACAAUCCAAAACAUUUCACUAGUACACUUUGGCCGCAAACAUGGUUUUGGGCCCCACUGUUUACUCCAUCUUGUUUGUUUUAUGGGAAGUAAUAUUUAUUCAAGGCAGACAAUAGCUUUGGAGUGUAUAGUCAAGGUUGGAGGUGAAAAAAUAAAAGUAAUAGUGAAUUGCUUUUCGCGGUAGCUUUCCUGUAUAAUGUUACGAUACAAAUCGAGGACUGUUAGCCAUAUGCCUUCAAUUUUCUCAGUGUGCUCUGUAUUGCUACUGUGUGAAGAGACAAACACUUCCAUGAGCUGGUUGCUGCUAUUUCCCCGACACAUUGAGAACGACGCACACAAACACACACAUACACACCAAACACUCAGACACACACACCCAAAUGGACACAAACCUGUAGAGAGCUUAAUUUGGUUCCACACUGCCUGGAUGUGUUUUUUUAAAUGAGCCCCAACAUGUCAGGGGAAGGUUAUUCAUGCCACUAUUUGUGUGAUUGCGCUGUGUUAUAUUAAACAUGACCUGUAGGAACA